rnacentral:rRNA from 1 species
UACGGAGGGUGCAAGCGUUAUCCGGAAUUAUUGGGCGUAAAGCGUCCGCAGGUGGCAAUGCAAGUCUGCUGUCAAAGCGUCUGGCUCAACCAGAUAAAGGCAGUGGAAACUACAUAGCUAGAGUAAGGUAGGGGUAGAGGGAAUUCCUGGUGUAGCGGUGAAAUGCGUAGAGAUCAGGAAGAACACCGGUGGCGAAAGCGCUCUGCUGGACCUUAACUGACACUGAGGGACGAAAGCUAGGGGAGCGAAUGGG